rnacentral:rRNA from 1 species
AACUUUCAACAACGGAUCUCUUGGUUCUCGCAUCGAUGAAGAACGCAGCGAAAUGCGAUAAGUAUUGUGAAUUGCAGAUUUUCGUGAAUCAUCGAAUCUUUGAACGCACAUUGCGCCCUCUGGUAUUCCGGAGGGCAUGCCUGUUUGAGCGUCAUU